AGCUUUGUUGUAACCCAGGGUUUGCAGCCUCUCACAACUCAGGUCUUUCUAUAUCUCAAUAAGCCUCCUCGACUCCUCCUUUCUUCCUUCCUGCCUUCUGUCUUCUACAACCGAGCAUUCUGCUUGUGGGGAUAUCCUUUUUGGCGCCCUGCAGUGAUUGCAAGAAGCGUGCAUUAGAGUGUUAUUGUGGUGAUCUGAACUCUUGUCUAUGUGCGACCGAGCGGUAAAGAGGUCACAUUCGCUGUUGUUUCGGGCUGGAGGUGUUGCAGGAAUUUCGUGCGGGAGGACAGUGUGCAAGCAAAGAUUCGCGAGAUCAAACGAUAUUCCUCUCGUAAUCUAAGUUGGAGCGGGAUCCCCAAAUUGAGACCAUUACAGUGGCAUCGAGUCUGAAGAUCCUACAUCAUGUGUGGGCCACGUAACAUGUUCACAUCAGUGUUCAAAACAAAGCGUAAUCCGAACAUGCCGAGGAACCCAACACGAUCCAUGAUGGACAAAAUCCAUUUCCUUUUCAAGAAGGAUGAGAGGGAGGCGAUUCCGGGAUCCGGGUCAAGAGCUGGAUCACGACCGGGCUCCACAAUUCCAUCGCGAGGUCCAUCGCGGUGACCUCCGUAUUGUGUUUGUAAGAAACCUCGACAAAUUGAUGCAAUAUCCUGCGGCAACUAGAUUUAACAUUCCACAUUCAGAAAUACACAUCAUGCUAUAUCGAAAGUGACAUAAAGUUGGCGAACUGGUUUGUCUGUCUUAUCUGCCUUACAAAUUAUGAACAAUGUGAGUUUCUGCAUUAAAAAAGAAACCAGAUAAAGCAAUUCUUCACCUUCACACAAAGUCCUGCUUCAAGUGUUAGGGACUCAAGGUUUCCAAAGUAGACACCAACGCACAAUUUGAAUUAGAAUACCCACUCACGUGAUUCAAAAAUAUAUUCAGAAUCCAAGAAGUUUCUUUGGUUUUUAGUUAGUGGUAAAUACAGUAGAACGGCACUUCAAUGCUGCGAAAGUGAUACAUAGCAGGGGCUGUAAGUUAAACCGUACCCAAAAGGAACUAUCUGUUUUACAAAGAAACCUAAAAGAUAAUUCUUUUUCUCUU